GAUGAACGCUGGCGGCGUGCCUAAUACAUGCAAGUCGAACGAACAGACCAGGAGCUUGGUCCUUCGACGUUAGCGGCGGACGGGAGGGUAACACGUAGGUAACCUAACUAUAAGACAGGGAUAACAUCGGGAAACCGGAGCUAAUGCCGGAUAAUAUUUCGCACCUCAUGGUUCGAUAGUGAAAGAUGGCAUUGCGAUCGCUUAUAGAUGGACAUGCGCCUUAUUAGAUAGUUGGUAAGGUAACGGCUUAGCAAGGCAACGAUGCGGAGCCGACCUGAAGGGGUGAUCGGCUACCUGGGAUGAGAGACACACCACAGACACCGACGCGGGGCAGCAGUCGAGACUCCUCCGCGAGGGGCGAGAGCGUGACGUAGCAAAGCCGCGGGAGUGAUGACGGACCCAUGACCGGUAAACGAUGUUAUUAGUGAAAUACUAACAUUUUAGUACCUGUGAACGUAAUGACGGUACCUGAUGAAAAAGCCCCGGCUAACUACGUG
rnacentral:rRNA from 1 species